UACGUAGGGACCGAGCGUUGUCCGGAAUCAUUGGGCGUAAAGAGCGUGUAGGCGGCCAACUAAGUCCUGCGUGAAAUCUCGGGGCUCAACCCCGAGCGGUCGUGGGAAACUGGUUGGCUAGAGUGCGGGAGAGGAGAGUGGAAUUCCCGGUGUAGCGGUGAAAUGCGCAGAUAUCGGGAGGAACACCAAUGGCGAAGGCAGCUCGCUGGGACGGUACUGACGCUGAGACGCGAAAGCGUGGGGAGCAAACAGG
rnacentral:rRNA from 1 species